rnacentral:rRNA from 1 species
UACGUAGGGUGCGAGCGUUAAUCGGAAUUACUGGGCGUAAAGCGUGCGCAGGCGGUUCGUUGCGUCUGCUGUGAAAUCCCCGGGCUCAACCUGGGAAUGGCAGUGGAAACUGGCGAGCUUGAGUGUGGCAGAGGGGGGUGGAAUUCCGCGUGUAGCAGUGAAAUGCGUAGAGAUGCGGAGGAACACCGAUGGCGAAGGCAACCCCCUGGGCUGACACUGACGCUCAGGCACGAAAGCGUGGGGAGCAAACAGG